CUCGUGGGCGUGGUCGUUUCGAUCAUCCUCAU
rnacentral:sRNA from 1 species